AGCUUAUUUCGUCUUUAUUAUGUUGUGCAGUCGAUUCUAAGGACGAUAGUGACGACAAAAUAAUCAACCAGCAGAAUAGUAGGAAUAGAAACGGUGGUACGGGUAA
rnacentral:rRNA from 1 species